rnacentral:snRNA from 1 species
CCAACACUCUUUGCCUUUCGGCUCAGAUCAAGUGUAGUACCUGUUCUUCCUUAGCUUGACCGCUAGGAUGCCCCUUACGGGGGGCCCGAUUCGCUCAAGAUAUUCUUUGAAGUGUCGCGGAAAGCCUGCCAUGCCUUGUGCAGAGGGUUUCUUGCUCUUGUGUCCGAGGCCUUCCACUACCGCCUUGUGAUGCGAAAACAUC